rnacentral:rRNA from 1 species
UACAGAGGGUGCAAGCGUUGCUCGGAUUUACUGGGCGUAAAGCGUACGCAGACGGCUUGGUAGGUCGGAUGUGAAAGCCCCGGGCUCAACCCGGGAAUUGCAUCCGAAACCACCUCGCUCGAGUGUGGGAGAGGGAAGCGGAAUUCCUGGUGUAGAGGUGAAAUUCGUAGAUAUCAGGAGGAACACCGGCGGCGAAGGCGGCUUCCUGGCCCAUUACUGACGUUCAGGUACGAAAGCGUGGGUAGCGAACAGG